UUAUAAACACUAAUUUAGAAACUAAUAACUAAUGUUGGAAAAGACUCCAACAAAGUAAAUAACAAGUUAGCUAACUUAGAGGUAAUGUGUUAUUUCCUGUGACACGUAGCUGAAGUUAGAGGCAUGACAGCAUGAUGACUAACAAGUCCACCAUGAGUUAAAUAACGUUAACUCAUGUGAUGCUUGUUGUCAAGGGUCUAAUAACGUUGCUAUCUAGUAGCAUAGCAACCUAGCUCAGCUUAGCAACCUAGCAUAGCAACCUAGCUCCAACUGUCUUAAUGCUUCACCUACCUGCAGCAAUAACAACCCAGCUGUCAUUCUGUACAUCAGGCGUCCGCUUCUUUUUAGUCGCCAUGAGUAAUUCAGCUUAACGGGAGAGCCAAAGGGUCUCUGCUCUCAGGUGCAGGUUGUUUGGUGACCAGUUGUCCUUUGGCACGCUGGCACACAGCAGAUUGGGGGAUCCAUCUGUCCUUCAGUAAGAGGAGGGCAUCUCUCACACACUCUCUCAGGAUAUGACACAGUGUGUGUGUCCCAGUUGGUUUUCACCCUCUCAUGCUCCAUAAUCUGAGAAUCAUUACUAGAACAGAAAAGCAGAUGGGAGCGGAGGACAGACAGACAGGAAGGCAAACACACGAAGGUGCUGGUGUUGAGGGAGGCAGAGUGACUACACAGCAGUGACAGAAAGUUGCUGAUCCCCGUAUUGCUGGCCCAUUCACCAGGAUGACAUCAUUGGCUCAGACCGUGCCAACUGUGCUCAAUAAAGCCCAGGCGUGUUUCAGUGUGGGAGUGCCUCUGCUGCACUGAGACUCCUAUGAAAGACGUGAGUGAGAAGA